rnacentral:tRNA from 1 species
UUAGAAAAACGGGACUCGAACCCGCACCUAAAAACUCAAAAUCCUUAGCACUCCAUUGUGCUACUUUCUA